CUAAUUUCUUCUUCACUGUAGAAUUGUGUCCCAUUCUCCAUUAGGUGUUUCUACUGGUGCUGCAUCAGGAUCACAUUGAUCCGAUCAUAUAUUUUACUGUUUGUCAAUUUGUAUUGGAUUCUGUGAUCCCUUAGGAGUUUCCCAUUAAUAGCAUUAAAUUCAGCACAAAAUUGCUUGCUUUGAGGUUAGUUUCUAUGCAAAAAAGUGCAUAUUGAUAGACUAUUUUUCUUCUUACCUCAAUUUUACUAUUUUAUUGUUAACAAGAUCAAAAAGUUUCUUAUAUUUAAUUAACGAUUGAUCUAAUAAGCAUCGAUAUUCAUCUUAUGCUAAGCAUCAAUGACAUGCCAUAUUAAUGUAUUGGUAGAUAAAGAUUUGAUGGAUGUUAACAUUUGAAUUAAAUUUAGUAUUCACUAAUGAAUUAAAAUGACAUGUCAUUGGUACUUAGCAUAAGAUGAUCACCGAUACUCAUUAGAUCAAUCCUCAUAUUUAAUUAUUUACUUCUUUUAUAUCCAGGGUGGAUGAGGGGGUUUGGCUCCAGAGGACUUAGAAAUCCACCUACACACAAUUUAAGCUCAAUUAUUUUGAAAUAACUAUUGCUUUUAUUUUCAAGGUCUUACAGUACAAGUCGAAAUCUAGGGUUUCAUUUGGUUGAAAAUCAAUUUUGAGUUGAUAAAUGCUAG
rnacentral:lncRNA from 1 species